rnacentral:lncRNA from 1 species
CUAUAUAUACUUAUGAUGUAAUGCAACAAUCCGCCCCACUAGUAAUAAUAACUCGUUGGGCCAAACCACUAACCCAAAAAUAUUUAAGCCUAAUUAUUAUUAUCAUGGUGGAGUUCUCGUCAAUCCUAAACAUACACAGCGUAGCCUAAGGUGAGACUUGUCUCGCUAAUCUUGUCAUUCCGACUCUGACUUAAUCUGUCAAUCACCGAGUUUCGCUAACCUUGUCAUUCUGACUCUGACUUAGUCUGUUAAUCACCGACCCUAUCCUAGUCUGUCAUUCCGACUCUGACUCGAUCAAGACUUAUCUCACACUUUCGGUUGGUGAACUAACUCUGAUAUCAAAUAUAAUGAUCCGACCCACUAGAAAUAAUAACUUGUUGGGUCCAAAAUACCGGCCCAAAAUAUUUAAACUCAGUUAUUAUUAUUAUUGUGGAGUUCUCUCAUAUAUCAAAUGACAGCAGCAUUUUCAUCCAAUGU